AGAGUUUGAUCAUGGCUCAGGAUGAACGCUAGCGGCAGGCUUAACACAUGCAAGUCGAGGGGUAACAGGGUCUUCGGACCGCUGACGACCGGCAAACGGGUGCGGAACACGUACGCAAUCUACCUCUUUCUGGGGCAUAGCCCGGAGAAAUCCGGAUUAACACCCCAUAACAUAGAUGAGUGGCAUCACUUAACUAUUAAAACUCCGGUGGAAGGAGAUGAGCGUGCGUCCCAUUAGCUAGUUGGUGGGGUAAUGGCCCACCAAGGCGACGAUCGGUAGCUGGUCUGAGAGGAUGAUCAGCCACACUGGGACUGAGACACGGCCCAGACUCCUACGGGAGGCAGCAGUCGGGAAUCUUGCGCAAUGGGCGCAAGCCUGACCGAGCGACGCCGCGUGUGGGAUGAAGGCCCUCGGGUUGUAAACCACUGUCAGAGCGGAGGAAAUACAUGGGGGUUCUCCCCUGUGCUUGACCUAUGCUCAGAGGAAGUACGGGCUAAGUUCGUGCCAGCAGCCGCGGUAAGACGAACCGUACGAACGUUAUUCGGAAUCACUGGGCUUAAAGGGUGCGUAGGCUGUGCGGAAAGUUGGGUGUGAAAUACCUCAGCUUAACUGAGGAACUGCAUUCAAAACUACCGUGCUCGAGGGAGACAGAGGUGAGCGGAACUUAGGGUGGAGCGGUGAAAUGCGUUGAUAUCCUAAGGAACACCGGUGGCGAAAGCGGCUCACUGGGUCUCUUCUGACGCUGAGGCACGAAAGCUAGGGUAGCGAACGGGAUUAGAUACCCCAGUAGUCC
rnacentral:rRNA from 1 species